rnacentral:pre_miRNA from 1 species
GGGGGGAAUGCAGGAUCCUGGGCUGUCCCUCGGAGUCCUGGGCUCUGGGGCCUGCGCCACUGGAAUUGCGUUCCUGAUGCCGCGCAGCACCCU